rnacentral:lncRNA from 1 species
GUUGGAAGUCAGCCCUGACCAGAGGGGAUGGGAUGUGAGAGACGGAUGUCAGGUGGCAUGAGGCAAGGGAAGAAUUUCAGAGGCAGGAAGAAAGUACACAUAAUAGCUCCCUGAGCAGAAACAGAAAUGGGAAGGGAAUAUGAUCUGAGAGAGAGUUUCAUCUGCCUUUACAAUGCCGGAGGCAGAGAUUGGCACACAAGGACAGGGUCUUGUCUUCUGGUAGCUUGUCUAAUACAGGACACAGGCAAGCUCACAAGAAACUGCCUCGUAGGGCUGAGUGAAAUUUGCUGAUAGAGCUGCAGAAUCACAUUCCUCAAAGACAGGAAGGAGCUUAACGGAGAGGCCUGAUGGGAUUUGGAGAGCUGCCUGUUUCCUCUGCACUGCAGGAUGGGAUUGAGCGUGCCCCUGGCUGAGGAAGGAGGGCACAAGGACGCUGCGGCCGACAGGCCAGUUUCCAUAGGCAAGCCGUGGCUCAGCUGGCUCUUCCGCUCCAAGUCUCACAAGGCUGCAAUCAAGGUGUCAGCCUGGGCUACAGUGUGAUCUGAGACUCAGGUCUUCUUCCAAGCACAGGUGGUUGUCUGCAGAAUUCAUUUCUCUGCCGCUAUAGAACUCAUGGUGGCUCGUUUCCAGGCCAACAGGAGAGCUUCUCUUCUGCUUCAAGAGCUUAAAAUUCUUCUUAUCAUGCCCAUUUUUGUAUUGGGUGGUUUGUCUUCUUACUGAGUUGGAUGAGUACUUUAUAAAUUCUAGGUACAAGCCCUAUGCAGAUGUACAUAUUGCAAAUAUUUUCUCCCAGGCCAUAACUUGCCAUUUCAUUUUCUUAAUGGAGUGUUGGGAGAAGAGAAAUGUUUGAUUUAAAUGAAGUCUAACUUCUCAACUUUUUUUUUGUAUGGUUCAUGCUUCUUAUUCUUAUACAAGAAACAUUUGCCUAUCCAAAGGCUACAAUAUUUUCUCCUAUAUUUUCUUCUAGAAGUUUGAUAACCUUAGCCUUAUAUUUAGUUCUAUGACCCAUUUUAAGUCAACUUUUCUGUAUGACGUGAGAUAAGAGUUGAGAUUCAAUUUUCCCCCCAAAUUGAUAUCCCAUUUUUACCACACUAUCGGUUGAAAACACCAUUUCCCCUGUUGGCACCUUAACUGAAAAAAAUAAAUUGACCAUACAUAAGUGGAUCUAAUUCUAGAUGCUUUAUUGUUGUAUUAGUUUACAUUUCUCUACUUAUAUCUACAAUAAUUAUGUGAUUGCUCCAUGUUUAUAUUAAGUCUUUC